rnacentral:tRNA from 1 species
GGAGAGGUGCAGGAGUGGCUUAACUGGCACGCCUGGAAAGCGUGUGUACGUGCAAGCGUACCGUGGGUUCGAAUCCCACCCUCUCCG